AUGGUGACGUCACAGUCCGUGCAGAUUUUGAACAGCUCACCCGGAGACUGCAGACCGAGCACAUCCAGAAACCAUAUCUCACUUAAAACAGCAUGGAAGGUUUUUUUCCCACGUUUCUAUGCGGGUGGAAGCACCAGACACAAAAUAAUAU